rnacentral:rRNA from 1 species
UAAGCAUAUCAAUAAGCGGAGGAAAAGAAACCAACAGGGAUUGCCCUAGUAACGGCGAGUGAAGCGGCAACAGCUCAAAUUUGAAAUCUGGCCUCGGCCCGAGUUGUAAUUUGCAGAGGAAGCUUUAGGCGCGGCACCAUCUGAGUCCCCUGGAACGGGGCGCCAUAGAGGGUGAGAGCCCCGUAUAGAUGGACGCCUAGCCUGUGUAAAGCUCCUUCGACGAGUCGAGUAGUUUGGGAAUGCUGCUCAAAAUGGGAGGUAAAUUUCUUCUAAAGCUAAAUACCGGCCAGAGACCGAUAGCGCACAAGUAGAGUGAUCGAAAGAUGAAAAGCACUUUGAAAAGAGGGUUAAAUAGCACGUGAAAUUGUUGAAAGGGAAGCGCUUGUGACCAGACUUGCGCCGGGCGGAUCAUCCGGUGUUCUCACCGGUGCACUCCGCCCGGCUCAGGCCAGCAUCGGUUCUCGCGGGGGGAUAAAGGCCCUGGGAACGUAGCUCCUCCGGGAGUGUUAUAGCCCAGGGCGCAAUGCCCUCGCGGGGACCGAGGUUCGCGCAUCUGCAAGGAUGCUGGCGUAAUGGUCAUCAGCGACCCGUCUUGAAACACGGACCAAGGAGUCAAGGUUUUGCGCGAGUGUUUGGGUGUAAAACCCGCACGCGUAAUGAAAGUGAACGUAGGUGAGAGCUUCGGCGCAUCAUCGACCGAUCCUGAUGUUUUCGGAUGGAUUUGAGUAGGAGCGUUAAGCCUUGGACCCGAAAGAUGGUGAACUAUGCUUGGAUAGGGUGAAGCCAGAGGAAACUCUGGUGGAGGCUCGCAGCGGUUCUGACGUGCAAAUCGAUCGUCAAAUCUGAGCAUGGGGGCGAAAGACUAAUCGAACCAUCUAGUAGCUGGUUACCGCCGAAGUU